UACGAAGGGGACUAGCGUUGUUCGGAAUUACUGGGCGUAAAGGGCGCGUAGGCGGUCCUGAUCGUCGGAUGUGAAAUCCCCGGGCUUAACCUGGGAAUGGCAUUGGUGACUGCACGGCUAGAGUGUGUCAGAGGGGGGUAGAAUUCCACGUGUAGCAGUGAAAUGCGUAGAGAUGUGGAGGAAUACCGAUGGCGAAGGCAGCCCCCUGGGAUAACACUGACGCUCAUGCACGAAAGCGUGGGGAGCAAACAGG
rnacentral:rRNA from 1 species